rnacentral:rRNA from 1 species
UUCAAUACUAUUAUCGUAAGAUAAUGGUGUGCACUUCUUUCUUAGUAAGACGUUGUGAUCCAUUAGGAAUUGAUUGUUCCAUUAGUUUAACAAUCAUUAGGUUAUCAAUAGAAUAAUAUGAAGUUCAUAAUUAUAAAUAAUAAAAUUGAUUAUAAUUUUAUAUAUUAUACUAUGAGCAUAUUAUAUAACUGGUAUAACUGCCUGAUGGAUUUUAAAGGUCAUAAUAUUGAUGUAUAUAUUUAUGCAUCACCUACUUCUCUAUUAUGAGAAGCUAAGGAUUAUAAUUAUGUACUCGAUCAACAACGGUUUCAUUUGGGAUACCUUUGGGACCCGUCUUGAAACACGGACCAAGGAGUCUAUCUAAUAUGCAAGUAAAUGAGAUUUUAUUGGAAACUUAUUUGCGUAAAUAACUUGACUGUUAUAUUAAUAAUGGGAUUACAAGUUAAAUAUUUUAUAUAUUUAAUUUCUCCAUCCCGGGGUAUUUUCAUAAUAUAUAAUAGAAUUUUCUAUUAUAUAGAAAAUAUACCAUGAGCAUAUUGGAUAUGACCCGAAAGAUGGUGAACUAUGCCUGAUCAGGUUGAAGUCAGGGGAAACCCUGAUGGAGGACCGAAGCAAUUCUGACGUGCAAAUCG